GACGAACGCUGGCGGCGUGCCUAAUACAUGCAAGUCGAACGCUUUGUCUUUAAUUGAUAUGAAGAGCUUGCUCUGAUUUGAUUUUAUCUGACAAAGAGUGGCGAACGGGUGAGUAACACGUGGGUAACCUACCUCUUAGCAGGGGAUAACAUUUGGAAACAAGUGCUAAUACCGUAUAAUACUAACAACCGCAUGGUUGUUAGUUGAAAGAUGGUUCUGCUAUCACUAAGAGAUGGACCCGCGGUGCAUUAGCUAGUUGGUAAGGUAAUGGCUUACCAAGGCGAUGAUGCGUAGCCGAGUUGAGAGACUGAUCGGCCACAAUGGGACUGAGACACGGCCCAUACUCCUACGGGAGGCAGCAGUAGGGAAUCUUCCACAAUGGGCGCAAGCCUGAUGGAGCAACGCCGCGUGUGUGAUGAAGGGUUUCGGCUCGUAAAACACUGUUAUAAGAGAAGAACGACAUUGAGAGUAACUGUUCAGUGUGUGACGGUAUCUUAUCAGAAAGGAACGGCUAAAUACGUG
rnacentral:rRNA from 1 species